GCUUGGGUUUGGAUUCACGGCAGGGUCUUCCCCCCGGCCCUCUCAUAGGGUCCCCUGCCAGAGCAAACCAUUGCCUGGCCUUGUCCACAGGCCCUGGCACUGAAGCAGGUUGCACAGGA
rnacentral:snoRNA from 1 species